GUGUUUUUUCUUUGGCAGCACAUAUACUAAAGCUGGAACGAUACGGAGAAGAUUAGCAUGGCCCCUGCGCAAGGAUUUGUGAAGCAUUAAAAAAAAAGAACACAUAUUG
ensembl:snRNA U6 U6 spliceosomal RNA